GGAUGUCAUGCUGGUCUAUGCUGGUUUUAGCUGGUGUUAGGCUGGUUUAGUUGGUUUACGAGGCUGGACAAGCUGUUCUGGCUGGUUCAAGACCAGCCUGGUCAGCUAAACCAGCAUAGACCAGCAUGGAUGUCAUGCUGGUCUAUGCUGGUUUUAGCUGGUAGUUAAACUGGAUGCUGGUGAAGUUGGUAUUUAUGCUGGUCUACCAGCAGUCUUGCUGGCUAAACUGAAACAGACACAGACAGACAGAGAGGGCGGGGGACGGCGAGACGGCAGUGGUUGAAACAAAGCGGUAUGUUUUGACUGGCACUAACGGCACAACGGUCAAGGAGUGAAGAAGAUCAGUUGAGCGUUUCUGUGACUCCGCCCAGCGGCUGCUCUUCUGAGAGGCACCGCUCUGAAAGCUCUGUCUACUGGGAAACGCGCUAAAAGUCCUUCUGGAGGUAAGCAACACUACACAAUUUCACCAAGUCUGAGAGUAAAAGCUUUCUCGAAGGCUUUGCAUUUGAACUCCUAUGACUGGUUGCGGUCUUGAAGGGAAUGACUUCCUGGCCUUCCUGACAUCCAGGAAAAUGUUUUAUUGGACAGUAGAGAUCUAAUGGAAACAGUGG